rnacentral:tRNA from 1 species
GGCGACGUGGAGAAACUGGUAGACUUGCCAGCUUGAGGGGCUGGUGCUCAUUAGGGCGUGUGGGUUCGAAUCCCAUCGUCGUCA